rnacentral:rRNA from 1 species
AGAUUGAACGCUGGCGGCAUGCCUUACACAUGCAAGUCGAACGGCAGCACGGGUGCUUGCACCUGGUGGCGAGUGGCGAACGGGUGAGUAAUACAUCGGAACAUGUCCUGUAGUGGGGGAUAGCCCGGCGAAAGCCGGAUUAAUACCGCAUACGAUCUACGGAUGAAAGCGGGGGACCUUCGGGCCUCGCGCUAUAGGGUUGGCCGAUGGCUGAUUAGCUAGUUGGUGGGGUAAAGGCCUACCAAGGCGACGAUCAGUAGCUGGUCUGAGAGGACGACCAGCCACACUGGGACUGAGACACGGCCCAGACUCCUACGGGAGGCAGCAGUGGGGAAUUUUGGACAAUGGGCGAAAGCCUGAUCCAGCAAUGCCGCGUGUGUGAAGAAGGCCUUCGGGUUGUAAAGCACUUUUGUCCGGAAAGAAAUCCUUGGCUCUAAUACAGUCGGGGGAUGACGGUACCGGAAGAAUAAGCACCGGCUAACUACGUGCCAGCAGCCGCGGUAAUACGUAGGGUGCGAGCGUUAAUCGGAAUUACUGGGCGUAAAGCGUGCGCAGGCGGUUUGCUAAGACCGAUGUGAAAUCCCCGGGCUCAACCUGGGAACUGCAUUGGUGACUGGCAGGCUAGAGUAUGGCAGAGGGGGGGUAGAAUUCCACGUGUAGCAGUGAAAUGCGUAGAGAUGUGGAGGAAUACCGAUGGCGAAGGCAGCCCCCUGGGCCAAUACUGACGCUCAUGCACGAAAGCGUGGGGAGCAAACAGGAUUAGAUACCAUGGUAGUCCACGCCCUAAACGAUGUCAACUAGUUGUUGGGGAUUCAUUUCCUUAGUAACGUAGCUAACGCGUGAAGUUGACCGCCUGGGGAGUACGGUCGCAAGAUUAAAACUCAAAGGAAUUGACGGGGACCCGCACCAGCGGUGGAUGAUGUGGAUUAAUUCGAUGCAACGCGAAAAACCUUACCUACCCUUGACAUGGUCGGAAUCCUGCUGAGAGGCGGGAGUGCUCGAAAGAGAACCGGCGCACAGGUGCUGCAUGGCUGUCGUCAGCUCGUGUCGUGAGAUGUUGGGUUAAGUCCCGCAACGAGCGCAACCCUUGUCCUUAGUUGCUACGCAAGAGCACUCUAAGGAGACUGCCGGUGACAAACCGGAGGAAGGUGGGGAUGACGUCAAGUCCUCAUGGCCCUUAUGGGUAGGGCUUCACACGUCAUACAAUGGUCGGAACAGAGGGUUGCCAACCCGCGAGGGGGAGCUAAUCCCAGAAAACCGAUCGUAGUCCGGAUUGCACUCUGCAACUCGAGUGCAUGAAGCUGGAAUCGCUAGUAAUCGCGGAUCAGCAUGCCGCGGUGAAUACGUUCCCGGGUCUUGUACUCACC